UGGGGAAUAUUGCGCAAUGGGGGGAACCCUGACGCAGCCAUGCCGCGUGAAUGAAGAAGGCCUUCGGGUUGUAAAGUUCUUUCGGUAUUGAGGAAGGUUGAUGUGUUAAUAGCACAUCAAAUUGACGUUAAAUACAGAAGAAGCACCGGCUAACUCCGUGCCAGCAGCCGCGGUAAUACGGAGGGUGCGAGCGUUAAUCGGAAUAACUGGGCGUAAAGGGCACGCAGGCGGUUAUUUAAGUGAGGUGUGAAAGCCCUGGGCUUAACCUAGGAAUUGCAUUUCAGACUGGGUAACUAGAGUACUUUAGGGAGGGGUAGAAUUCCACGUGUAGCGGUGAAAUGCGUAGAGAUGUGGAGGAAUACCGAAGGCGAAGGCAGCCCCUUGGGAAUGUACUGACGCUCAUGUGCGAAAGCGUGGGGAGCAAACAGGAUUAGAUACCCUGGUAGUCCACGCUGUAAACGCUGUCGAUUUGGGGAUUGGGCUUAGAGCUUGGUGCCCGUAGCUAACGUGAUAAAUCGACCGCCUGGGGAGUACGGCCGCAAGGUUA
rnacentral:rRNA from 1 species